rnacentral:rRNA from 1 species
UACGGAGGGUGCAAGCGUUAUCCGGAUUCACUGGGUUUAAAGGGUGCGUAGGUGGGCCUGUAAGUCAGUGGUGAAAGCCCAUCGCUCAACGGUGGAACGGCCAUUGAUACUGCCAGACUUGAAUUAUUAGGAAGUAACUAGAAUAUGUAGUGUAGCGGUGAAAUGCUUAGAGAUUACAUGGAAUACCAAUUGCGAAGGCAGGUUACUACUAAUGGAUUGACGCUGAUGGACGAAAGCGUGGGUAGCGAACAGG